UGACUUUUGUAUUAAAAAUGUCAAGUAGGAAAUAUGUUAGAUCCCGAAAAAUGUUUGCCACUCCCCCCAAACCGAGGCGCCCCAAAAUAAAAACUGUUCCGUCGCCACUGGUGAUCCAUAAAUGUCAUAAAUUACAUCUCGUUACCAGAGAAUUGAGUUCAAGGGGUCUUUGAAGGAUCCAUAUAAUAUUUGACAAUUACACUUUUAGUCAAAAGUUUGAAAUUAAGUAACAAGUUUACACUCUCAUGAACGUCAUGAAUGAAUACAUAUCCACAUAUAAUAUUGUUGUUUACUACAUAUCAAUAUCGGCUCAUCCCCCACCCUACCCCACCCAAUUUAAUGCAUGUACCUAAUUUUCCUAUUUUUUAUUUUCCUACUUUUUAUUUUAGGUAAAUGUGAAGAGUUAAUAUAAGGAAAAGCCAAGGGUGAUGACCUUCAAGCCUAAUGUAUUUUGAGUUAACUUAUUGAAACUGCAAGCAUAGCGUAGAACGAUUGAAAAAAUCAAUGAUAAAUAAAUGUAGGAUGUGUAUGUAUAUAGGGAAUCCAAACUAGAGGUAUUGUACUCUGUUUAUCAUGUAAAUAUGUAUAGAUACGUUCAUGGCCGUAGCGACCGGGGUUGUAGGGGAGGGGGGGGGUGUAAACCCCCACCCCCAAUAUUUGUUCAUGAGUAAUUUAAGGUAAAUUUAUUUAGAGGUGAUUUAAGCUGAUUUUCAAGCAAAUUAUAAGAGCGUUGACAGGCUAACGUGGAAGUUGAAAGUGAAAGCUAAGAAUACCAAAUUUUUGUUGCAUUUCCGGGGUAAGAUUAAGCGUCUAAAAUCUAAAUAUCCAAAAUUUCCUCAAGGCAGCAUUCCCGCAAACCUCUCUAGUAGAUUUAGCCCCACAUCCCAUUGUGCCAAUAUAUUAUUUCGAGAGAAAACCCCCAUGGGCGUACUCAUCAAGAAGGUAACAUCCUUUUAGGUAACAUAAAACUUAGGAAAUCCGGUAAUUUGAACCUUUACACUCCCAAUAAGCAACGACAAAGUAUUUGCUACAUUCCUGGAUAUGUUUAUCAAAUGGCUGGAUUUAUUUACAUUGCUAUUAGAUGCCCUUUUGUUUUUAAAAGUUAACUAAUAGCGUAGUAAGUUAGCAUCACCCACAACUGUGAUAAAUUGAUUCUAUCCAGUCUUAGUUUGCAGGCCAGUGGGGUUGCACGAUAUUUCGCAGAGCACGUCAAGAGAUUGGGAACUAGUAAUAAGCAGUGAACUAUAAACUACACAAGAUAGAUUUGGAGUCUAAGCAUAUCCAUUACGAUCCCCUGUUAAAUGGAGGACAUUAAUUUGAAUUUUCCCUAUGCACCAAAAUAAUGAUUUUAUAGGACACAAUAAAAUAAGAGUUUAAAAUAUGAUAAACUGCUCAAACUUAUAAAGAUAGAAAUAAUUUUGAUUUUUUUGUGUGUGUUGGUGCAAUGUACUCAGGUGAAUUUGAUGUUUGCGAUGUUACUCUGAGUGUGUAUCCACACCGGGCAAGCUUGAAAAAUAUGCCUGGCCACGGUGGGAAUCGAACCUACGACCUUAGGAAUACUAGCCCAGUGCUCUACCAACUGAGCUACGAAAUAAUUUUGCAUGCCACAUUUGUGUAACGU